GAACCGUCCAAACGUUAUUCGGAAUCAUUGGGCUUAAAGGGUAUGUAGGCGGCGCUGUUAGUCGGGUGUGAAAUGCCUCGGCUCAACCGAGGAAUUGCGCCCGAUACUGCAGUGCUAGAGGAAGACAGAGGCAAGCGGAACUGAUGGUGGAGCGGUGAAAUGCGUUGAUAUCAUCAGGAACACCGGUGGCGAAAGCGGCUUGCUGGGUCUUUUCUGACGCUGAGAUACGAAAGCUAGGGGAGCGAAGGGGAUUAGAUACCCCCGGUAGUCCUAGCUGUAACCCGAUGAGCACUUGAUCGGGGGACCCCCCCCCCCCCCCCGAUAGGUUCUCGGUCGCAGCGAAAGUGUUAAGUGCUCCGCCUGGGAGUAUGGUCGCAAGGCUG
rnacentral:rRNA from 1 species